CCAUCCGAGUACGACCUCAGAUCAAACGAAACAACCCGCUGAAUUUAAGCAUAUAAGUAAGCGGGGGAAAAGAAACUAACA
rnacentral:rRNA from 2 species